rnacentral:lncRNA from 1 species
GUCAGAAGGAGCACAGAGCCUUUUCCACAGGCAUGUGAACGCUGACAGCUUCGGGGGCAGUCUGGUGGGAAAUAAUUAGCACACUGGAAAUGUAUUCCUCAUUAAAAUGAGGGAAGAUCCACCGCUGGGGCUGGAGCAACCAUGUGGCUUCAGGCAGCUUAGGUGGGGGCACUGCCCUGAACCCCUGGCUGGGUUUGCCGGGGUGGGGGGGAUCCCGCACAGCAGCCCCCGCACCAGCAGCGGUGUGAAAGCCAUGGAGCAACCAAAGGGACUGAAAAGCAUCUGCACCCCCAGGAUCCAGGUGCUGCUCGCAGAGAAAGGAAAUCCAGAGCCCAGCAGCAUCCAGCCCGGCUCGGCCAGCAAAACAUCAUGUUUAAUGCACAAUACUGCAACAACGGAGCUGAAACAGCCAUAGGCACAAUAACGGAUUUCUCCGAGCAUCCCCAGUGAGCCCCCGCCCCCAAACACCCCAUCACUCCAGCUCCCCGCACCAGUGUUUCUAGGACAGCGGCUCUCCAGCUACUUUAUCCCCUCGGACCAAGGCGGCCCCGACAACAAACAAUCCUGAGAAGCAGCAUCACCGCCGGCACCGGCUCAGCAUCCCCCAGCCCAUCGGUCCCCUGUGCGGGGGGAGCCCCCGGCGGGGCACCGCAUCCCCGGCGUGGGCAGCCAAACCCCACGCACACCCCUCCGGAGCAUCGCAACCCCACACGCACCCUUCCUAGAUGUCAGUUCACAGCCAGCAAACUCCAGCGCCGGGAGCAGCGAUUUUUUCCCCCCCGGCCAUCAAGCGCCACUGCCCCAGCGACGUGGAGGGAGGAGGAAAAAAAACCACACAAAUAAAAAAAAUACCUGCUACUUAAGAAUGGAUGCACAUAGUGAGAGUGACAUGCCUUGAGAGGGUGUAUUCCCCAUUUCUGCUCUGCUUGCUCGCUUUCUUUUCUUUCCUUUCUCUCCGCGAGGGGCUCAGGCCCAGCCAACCAUGGGAGACGGAGGCAGGAGUGCGAGCGAGCGGGCGCGCGGGUGCGAGCGCGCGCCGGGGUGUGUGCGCGUGGGAGCGCGCAGCUCGGCG